AGAGUUUGAUCCUGGCUCAGAGCGAACGCUGGCGGCAGGCCUAACACAUGCAAGUCGAACGAACUCUUCGGAGUUAGUGGCGGACGGGUGAGUAACACGUGGGAACGUGCCUUUAGGUUCGGAAUAACUCAGGGAAACUUGUGCUAAUACCGAAUGUGCCCUUCGGGGGAAAGAUUUAUCGCCUUUAGAGCGGCCCGCGUCUGAUUAGCUAGUUGGUGAGGUAAAGGCUCACCAAGGCGACGAUCAGUAGCUGGUCUGAGAGGAUGAUCAGCCACAUUGGGACUGAGACACGGCCCAAACUCCUGCGGGAGGCAGCAGUGGGGAAUCUUGCGCAAUGGGCGAAAGCCUGACGCAGCCAUGCCGCGUGAAUGAUGAAGGUCUUAGGAUUGUAAAAUU
rnacentral:rRNA from 1 species